ACUUCUCUUCCCGGAUCCCGACGGAAUUAUACGAAUGCGUUUGAGAUGUCAGAUCACGCCGUUUUUCCAGGCACUCAAACUAUGUUGUCUCAUCCAAAGUCAAAAGUUGUCGGCGAUAAACACAAAUGGGAGUUUAACGUAUCCUUUGAUCGCAGGUUAUGCGGGCGGGAUAUCCUUAGAGCACUUCAUCUUAUCCUAUUAACCAUUCACUCGGUCCGAAUACAGUACAGCACAAGCAACUUUCCGACCAAUCGAUGUCCCCUCUAACAGAAAAAGUUACUCCCUGCGACCGGAUAUCACGUGAUCGGUUUUCAGAACGCGCAUUUGAAAAUAAUCGAUCCCGUUCAGUGCAUUCUUCCACAUUUCGACCUGUCGAACUAAUUU
rnacentral:lncRNA from 1 species